rnacentral:lncRNA from 12 species
AUGACAACGGAAGACAAUUUGGGGCGUCCUCCGGCGGCUGGCUCCUGUGAGGCUGAGCGGGAGGUCUAUGACAGCGCUUCUCAAACCAUCUGUGGUGAAGAACGUGUGUGUGUGAUUUCUUGUCCAUCGUA